UCAUGACCGGAUCCUCUCUGUUGGGGGGAACAAUAAAGAAGAAGAGGGAGAUAGUCCCCGGGUUUUAUACACAUCUGAGAACGCUCCGAAUGCCAAAUAAAGUGCUGUGUCUACGAGCCUUGCCAGAUACAGAAGAAAGCGACUUGCAUGUGAGGACAAGUGUCAGCUCGGGCCGACAAUGGCGAACAAUGCAGAGGACGUGGAGAACAACACGGCGGUGACCCCCAGGCCAGAGGACGAUGCAGGGGGCCUGCGGCUGCGCUCCCGGGGGGGUGGCGGGGACGGCGCCGACG